rnacentral:lncRNA from 1 species
AUGCUACCCCUCCCUGAACACCCCAUACACCUGAGUCUACAGGAUACAGAGGGGAUUCUUCUCACUGGUGGGGUCCCACCUACUACAGAAGGAGCUGAGUGUGUAGACAACUCCCUGCCACUGCUGCUGCUAUUGCUGUUGUUGCUGCCUCUGCCUCCCACAUUGGAUCAGACACUGACUGGGGAUCCUUGCAAGCCAUUUAAUGCAUGGAUGGAAAUACUAUCACACCUGCCACACAGUGGCUUGGAGGACUUCCUGUAUUUUUUACGAAACUCAGUUGCAAGAUGGUGCUACAUUGGAAAAUGGGACACCGAGAUCUAUUCCAGUAGAGCCUGCUCCACAGCUUCAUGUUGGCUUCUACAUAAGGCAGAUGCUUUCUUCAUCUCUCUUAACUGUGUGCAUAUAGUUAUGACUUCUAUGAUGGUAGAGGAAAAGUGGACAUUCUGAAUUUACCUGUAAGACAUAAUUGCAAUGGAAGACUGUGGAAAGAUAUGGUAAUGUUCAAAAGAAGACAAAAUCAACUCAUUUUAAUAUGUCAAGACAAAUCUUAAGUAAAUUUUUUUUUGUGAAAUUGGCAUUUAAAGAUUAUUUUUAUUCCACCUAUAAUCCAAUGUACCAAUAUCUCUAAAAUCCAGUGGGGCUUAUGGAUAUUUAAAGAGUACUAGUAAUUCUGGUGUGAUGGCUUGGUGAGGUUUUUUCAGAGUUGCACAUUAAUUUUGUGGUGUCCACCUCACACUCAACUCUCACCCAGGCCUCUAAUAAGUUGUAGUAUGAACUUUAAUCUUAUUCCAACAAACCAUCUUAUCAGAUGAUCUAAACCAAGUUGAGGGUAAUCAAUAAUCCACAAAUCCACUGGUGAGUUACAGGAGUAUCUACCUCAAAUAUGUGAAGAUUUCUCCCAGCAAAGCGAUCAGAUUAGAGCAAUUUUUUCCAAUGGCAUUGAAGAUGGUUGAAGCACUUAGAGCUUGGUCAGAUAUUAAAGAUGCCAACAUUAUCCAUUGUAUCAUGAGCCAUCAUCACUAGGUAUCCAGUCUUUUGCCUUAACAUUGGACUUCAAUGAUUCUGUAAGGGAAAGUAAGCUGAUAAUUUUGUACAGCUCUGCCUCACUUAAAUCCAAUUUAUAAUUAAGUCAAGACAUUGUCCUGUGAUAUAAUUAGUCUUCUUUGAAAAUAAUGAACAAAGUCCAAUAUGCAGAAAUAGUAUGGUAAUGUGGAAAGUGUUGGACUUGGAGUAAGGAAGACUUUGGUUAGAAUCGCACAUCAGAGAUUUAGGGAUUCCUGAUUCCUUAGAAAAAGGGCUCAGAAUGUAGCAAUUAAGGAGCCCAUUCCUAGUGAAAGAAAAAAAAUGGUGUAUCUUAAUGGCAAGGUUGGUCGGAGUGAAAUUCCUUUAUCUUAGCUUAGUGCAAGGAUGUCCAUUUUAUUCCUUAAAAAAUCCAGCCCAGAUACAA